ACUAAAAACAUGCUCUAAUUCACAGCCGUUGGAUUUUAUGACUUUGAACGGAUGGCUGAGAUUGCAGGCAUCACUCACAUGUGAAAACUUUGCCCAAAUAUCCCCUUUUGCGUCCGAUCUCCCCUUCUAGCUCUCUGGUUCCUUCUUUAUUGAAAACUUUGCCCAAAUCUCCCCUUUUGCGCUCAAUAUCCCCUUCUAGCUCUUGGGUUCCUCCUCCGUCGCAAAUCCUCCACUCGCACCAGCUCUUUGGUUCCUCUUCCACUUGCACCAGCUCCGUCGCAAAUCUUGCACUUGCACUAGCUCUCUAAUUCAUCGCACCAGCUCUCUGCUCGCACCGGCUCUCCAAGCGCACCAGUCAAAUUUGGGAACAAGGAUGUGGUAAAUUCAUUUGGGCAAAAGAAGGGGAAGCCAAACUUGACAAAGUAGAUAUUCUUAUUGGUGAAAUUCGACGUUUAUCAUUGCAAGUGGAGAAAUCGAAUAAUAUUCUUGAAGCAAUUCAGAAAAAUACUAAGAUUAGCGACUAAUACGACGUUAAGAAUGUUAUAAUGUUUGUACUUUUAUUAUUUAUUUUCUUUAAAAUGUUUGCCUAGUGAUGUAGUCAAGUAAUAUAUGUGUUUGUUAGGUUGGUAAAUUCUGAAAGCAACAUGUAUGAUAUAUGUAUCCACAUUUCAAACUUUGUUUUCUAUGCAAGUACUGGUUUUGGUUUGUGGCUAUAUCAAGUUGGAGGUUGAUGAUAGUAACAUGGAAAUGUACUAAAUGAGUAAUUGUAAUAAAAUAUGCGAGUAACAUUUUGGAAACA